UACAGAGACUGCAAGCGUUAUUCGGAUUCACUGGGCGUAAAGGGUGCGCAGGCGGCCGUGUGUGUGAGGCGUGAAAGCCUGGAGCUUAACUCCAGAAUUGCACCUCAAACUACACGGCUAGAGCAUUGGAGAGGGUAGCGGAAUUCACGGUGUAGCAGUGAAAUGCGUAGAUAUCGUGAGGAACACCAGAGGCGAAGGCGGCUACCUGGACAAUUGCUGACGCUCAGGCACGAAAGCGUGGGGAGCGAACAGG
rnacentral:rRNA from 1 species